CACUGAAAUAUAGGGAAGUUAAAACAUUUAAUGUAAUGAAUAUUUGCAUAAUAUCUGAUGGUGUUUCGUAACUGUUAUUAUCUUAAAGAUGGAAUUCAGGGAUAUUAAUAAGAAACAUGGUAAUGAUAUUGAGACCAACAGCUUCGAGAAUACAAAAAUAAAAAAUACAACUCUGGAAAGUGCUGAAAAUUCAAAAUCUCAUAAACUGGGAAAGAAGAAGGACUGUAUGAGGAAUUAAGAUUAGGAAGAAAAGUAAACGACAGAAAGUCUUUGAGAUGCGACGAAAUACCAAACAGAAUCAAGUAUUUCAUCUAUUUCGCUGUUGCAUUGUUUCUUGCGUUAUACAUAAUCUGCAUUGCCUUGAUUAUUUUUGUUGCCGUUCCAAAAGAUCAAGAUGGAGGCUGGUCAAACUGGGGAAAGUGGAGUUCUUGUAGUGACAGUUGUGGAGGAGGCAUCAAAUCAAGGAAUCGUUCCUGUUCAAAUCCAACACCAUCUCCGAAUGGGAAACAGUGUAUUGGAAACUUCGAGCAAGCCGGUCAAUGUAAUAAACAACUGUGCCCUGGAAUUGAUGGUGAUUGGUCACUGUGGGAAAACUGGGGAUCAUGCUCUGAGAGUUGCGGUGGCGGAUUACGUACACGGUCAAGGUCAUGUACUAAUCCAAGACCUUCUUUGACUGGUCGAUCAUGUGAAGGGGAUUAUACUGAUGUUAGCACAUGUAACAGAACAGCGUGUCCUGAACACAAUGUAGCAUUCACAGCGUACAAUAUAUACAGAAACUCGUGAGGCUACACAACCCUUUUGUUCAGGAAAACCUACAUCAACAAUGGAAAUGCAUAUGACACCACCACAGGAAAAUUUACAUGUAAUGUUCCUGGUGUGUACCAUUUUGUUGUGACUUUAACAAAGUAUUAUCAAGAUAUUAACCAUUUGUCUGCAAAUUUAAAAAUCAAUGAUAGCAGUAAGCUUGCCCUGCUCUUUAACCCUAAAGACGACGACAGCAAUGAAGUUGGAGCAUACAUGUUGACUGGUGCUGGUACCUUCAAUCUGAAUCGGAAUGAUUACGUUCAUAUUCAAGGCGUUCCAAACUAUUUUGUCGAUAAUUAUUAUUCUUACUUCUCUGGGUUCUUGAUAACCCCAGAUCAAUAAAGUCAGUUUAUUAAUUAUUGAAUAAAGGACAUAAUACAAAAAUCUGAAAUAUAGUGUAGAAAAAAAAAGGAUAAGAUAAAUCAUUUUAGUAAUAGUUAAAGAUGAUAAUGAGAAGUACGCCACAUUUUAUGGUGCCAUAUUUAGUCUGAGAAGUAUCAUUUAUUACACAGAAUUUUGGGGAAAACAUAAUAAUAGAUGGCUAUUCUGUCACAGGAGGAAAGGUUUUAAAAAGCAACAAGAAACGUCAGUAAUACAUUUUAAUUCUUUCAUUGCUUAAGUGUUUAGUUAAAGCAAGAUUUCAAAAUGGUGGUCUAUGGGAUAAUUACAAUUUUGCUGUGACCGUGCAUUUUUUCAUGAAACCUUACCAAGUUGCACAUUCACCUAUAUUCUAUCACCAGAUUAACUAAAAUGUGAGUACAGGGUUAAUUAAACUUGCGUUAAAACUUUUCAGUUUAAAUAAGCUAAAAGGUUGCCAUCAUAGAAAAUCGUUCUAGGUAUGGUUCGCACCCAUGUGUAAAAUAACCCCAUAUUCUAACAAGAUCCGCUGCAGUUGUUAUAAAAACAUAUAACGAAAUCGCCUAUACAUGAAUCUAUGAUAAAAUAUGGUUGGCUGUUACAUUUCGCCCCCUACGAUUGUGACAUAAGAAAUUCUACUUCUGUUCCAUUACAUACGAAUUAUUUCAGGGUCAAACGGUUGAAAAUAACAUUUCAAAAACAUAAUUAUGAUAAAAAGUCAUACUGACUUAUGUGUAGGACCGUAAAACACGUUUUGAUCCCUACGAGCGAAUUCAAUUAGCUCAAUUAUGAUUCAGAUGUGACGUCAUAAAUGUAUGACAUAAAGUAUGACGUCAUAAUGAUGUGACGUCAUUUAAAAGUUAUACUUGUAACUCGUAACACAGGAUCAACUGACUUAUGUCGUUCGGAUGCGAAUAUUUAAACCACUAGUGCUACGCAAUCGUGAUUCAAUUAUAACGCAUCCAAACUCCUGCCCAUAUUUUAUUAACUGAUAAAAUAUAGGAACAGAUUUAUUAUUUCUUAAGCAACUUUUAUAUGUUUAACAAAUUGACGAAAAGAACAAGACAAUUAUACUUAAGAACACAGUGGGACACCACUUGGACGGUCAGGAAUCAGUGGCGCACUGGUUAACAGGUUGGGCUUUAACGUCAGUGGUCUAGGUUCGAUUCCCGGUCGCGGCUGACUAGUAUUCAGUGCUGGGUGAUUUACUUAAAUUAGUACUGUUUCCAGAAGUAUCGGCCUAGACUGGAUGCUGGGGAGGUAAAUAUGACCCCUUCCGUGGGCUCGAUUGGAGAUAAGUUGUUCCAUACAUUUACGGUUGGGAGUUUCGCCGACAACGCAUGUUAAACAAGAAACUAACAUUUUAUAACUUAAGCAUAAAUAAAGUGCCCUGUUUAUUCUAAGAUUUUACUUCAGCUUUUUAUUAGGAUUACAAAAUAAAAAAAAAAGCAGUGUAAAAUGUUUACACACAAUUUGGUUUCUAUAUAUAUAUAUAUUUGCUACCUCUAGCGGACUUAUCCUCGAGCAAAUGCUUAAGUUCAUUUUAGUGAUAGUUUCACAUGAGUUUCAUUUUAAAUUUUAUAUGUUCUUUUUUAUUUUCUAAAUGAUGAAAGAUAUAUUUUUCCAUAUAGAAUAAGAAAUAUGCCUUUUGUAUCACUGUUCCGAAGUAUUAAUAAUUUCAUGGGCUAUGAAGUGCUUGUCAAUAAGGCCCAAAAAAAACCUUUGAAAAUGUUUCUUGUCUGUUAUGUAUAAAAGGAAAUGCUAAUAGUGAAUUUCAUAAGAUAGCUCUCAAGUAUUUGCAUUAUUUGUUCAUAUAAUAUUACUGUUUAAUGAAAAUGUUCAGAUGGAAUUUUAUCAUAACUUGAGGUUGCUUUUGGUAUUUCCAUAGUGGUUAAUCGAGUAUGUAGUUAGUGCCAUUUGACAAUUUCGUGUUAUCAGUAUGUUCAUUGCUACAGUUGCAUAGUUGCAUAGCAUAAUGAUAAUACUUGCAUUAUCUAUCUAUAUAGAGAAUAAUAGGUUAGUGCCGUAGAUGGGAAAGUUUAUCUGGCGAGGUGGAGGAGGUUAUCGGGUGAGCCGAAGGCGAACCUGAUAACGUCCGGAGCCGAGCCAGAUAAACUUUCUCCAUCUUAGGCACUAACCUAUUAU